UGGUGGAAUGGUCUGUCUGGUUAAUUCCGAUAACGAACGAGAUCUCUGCCUAUUAAAUAGGCGAGCUCAACGUCUACCGGGUGAAGUUAGUUGGUGCCUGAGGACGGUUUACCGACACUCGACCGGCUGAUGGAUCCUUGACGUAUGGGCUAGACUUCUUAGAGGGACUAAGGAUGUUUAAUCCUUGGAAGUUAGAGGCAAUAACA
rnacentral:rRNA from 1 species